rnacentral:rRNA from 1 species
CCCUUAACGCUAGCUCCUGGCUUAACACAUGCCAGUCGAGGGGCAGCAUGAAGUUUGCUUGCGAACUUUGAUGGCGACCGGCGCACGGGUGAGUAACGCGUAUCCAACCUCCCGCAUACUCGGGGAUAGCCUUCUGAAAGGAAGAUUAAUACCCGAUGGUAUCUCAAGAGCACAUGCAAUUAAGAUUAAAGAAUUUCGGUAUGCGAUGGGGAUGCGUUCCAUUAGGUAGUAGGCGGGGUAACGGCCCACCUAGCCAUCGAUGGAUAGGGGUUCUGAGAGGAAGGUCCCCCACAUUGGAACUGAGACACGGUCCAAACUCCUACGGGAGGCAGCAGUGAGGAAUAUUGGUCAAUGGGCGCGAGCCUGAACCAGCCAAGUAGCGUGAAGGAUGACUGCCCUAUGGGUUGUAAACUUCUUUUGUCCGGGAAUAAAACCGCCUACGUGUAGGCGCUUGUAUGUACCGGUACGAAUAAGCAUCGGCUAACUCCGUGCCAGCAGCCGCGGUAAUACGGAGGAUGCGAGCGUUAUCCGGAUUUAUUGGGUUUAAAGGGAGCGCAGACGGGUUUUUAAGUUAGCUGUGAAAGUUUGGGGCUCACCCUUAAAAUUG